GUACACUCCUACGGGAGGCAGCAGUGGGGAAUUUUGGACAAUGGGCGAAAGCCUGAUCCAGCAAUGCCGCGUGAGUGAAGAAGGCCUUCGGGUUGUAAAGCUCUUUUGUCAGGGAAGAAACGGUGAGAGCUAAUAUCUCUUGCUAAUGACGGUACCUGAAGAAUAAGCACCGGCUAACUACGUGCCAGCAGCCGCGGUAAUACGUAGGGUGCAAGCGUUAAUCGGAAUUACUGGGCGUAAAGCGUGCGCAGGCGGUUUUGUAAGUCUGAUGUGAAAUCCCCGGGCUCAACCUGGGAAUUGCAUUGGAGACUGCAAGGCUAUAAUCUGGCAGAGGGGGGUAGAAUUCCACGUGUAGCAGUGAAAUGCGUAGAUAUGUGGAGGAACACCGAUGGCGAAGGCAGCCCCCUGGGUCAAGAUUGACGCUCAUGCACGAAAGCGUGUGGAGCAAACAGGAUUAGAAACCCGUGUAGUCCCAUGAU
rnacentral:rRNA from 1 species